rnacentral:rRNA from 1 species
AGAUAAAGGUUCUUUCUGCCAUAGGAUAGGAUCGUGUCGAUUAGGUAGUGGUGAGGUAAUGGCUCACCAAGCCGAUAAUCGAUAGGGGCCGUGAGAGCGGGAGCCCCGAGAUGGGUACUGAGACACCGACCCAGACCUUACGAGGUGCAGCAGGCGCGAGACCUCCGCAAUACACGAAAGUGUGACGGGGUUACCCAAAGUGUUCAUUUUUGAACUGUGGUAGGUGAGUAAUGUCCCCUACUAGAAAGGAGAGGGCAAGGCUGGUGCCAGCCGCCGCGGUAAAACCAGCUCUUCAAGUGGUCGGGAUGAUUAUUGGGCUUAAAGUGUCCGUAGCCGGUUUAGUAAGUUCCUGGUAAAAUCAGGUAGCUUAACUAUCUGUAUACUAGGAAUACUACUAUACUAGAGGGCGGGAGAGGUCUGAGGUACUACAGGGGUAGGGGUGAAAUCUUAUAAUCCUUGUAGGACCACCAGUGGCGAAGGCGUCAGACUGGAACGUGCCUGACGGUGAGGGACGAAAGCCAGGGGAGCGAACCGGAUUAGAUACCCGGGUAGUCCUGGCCGUAAACGAUGCAUACUAGGUGAUGGCCCGGCCAUGAGCCGUGUCAGUGCCGUAGGGAAACCGUUAAGUGUGCCGCCUGGGAAGUAC